UAGGCCAGAAGUGGCCGCAGUACAAGGGACUUAGUCCCACCCCACUAGCAAUAAAAAAAAUCAUAUAGAGAAGGGGUUUGUUUAUGAUCUCAACUGAAAAAGUUGUAAUGUAGUGUUUAAAUUUGAUAUUCUCACAGUGGUGAAUAUUAAGGUUAUUGUCCUGUAGGAUAUAAGACUGUGUAAUUUGAUAGGCAUGUAACCAUCAAACAUACAGCGUACUUUUUCAGCUUUGAUGAACAUGACAAGCAACUGUUAUUGCGUUUUGUGAACUGCUUGUCUCCAACUCUGAAUAUAGUACGUUAGUCCAAAAUGUUGGUAACCUUCUACCAGAAUGCAUGGUGUCGCAUUCCAUAACAUAGUACAAUUCUCAGUAUAGAGUUAAUUUCAGUUUAUGUUAUGCCAUCCCUUACAUCAACCUACAGGCCCAUUGUCAUGUCACCAGCAAGGGGUCAAAUCGGGAAUGGGCCAUACGUCUUAGUUUUUUUGGAAAAUAAAUAAUAGUGCAGGAAUUACACCAAAUAUUAGAAAUGUUCUUUAAAUGUGACUGCCUAUUGUGAUGUAGAUAUACCCAUAAUUCUACGGUAACUCAAAAUAAACAGCAUAAACGAAGUUUGUAAGGAAAUUUAGUGACUUCUGUCCCCAUUUCGGGGGAUCUCACCGCGCUCUUGCCCCUUGUGAAAAUUAAUAUAUAUCAGGAAUGUUUACAGAGGGGUAUGUGAGUUAGAUGAACAUCAAUUAAUAUUGAAAGCGUUCAGUAAAACAGCUCUAUUUUUUGUAGAGCGAAUUACUUGCAACCGAGUAUUAUUUAAUUUUUAUUUCAGCAUCUGAUUUAACGAAAAUCCAGUGACUUUUACGGAGAAUGUCUAUCAGAAGUUAGUGAUUUCGAUUUCGUGGUACCAUGUAGUGAGUCUUUUGCCUGGUAGAUGGCAAACUAAUCGUGUGAGGUAAAUUGGGCUUGCUUUGAAGCUUUCACCGGUAGAUGGCGAGAGUAUGUAGUUAAGUGCCAUAGCCGUUUUUCUAGCAAUAUAGUUUUGGCUAGUUACGUAAUUCCUGUAACGUGCCGUGUGUACUUGGUAGUGUACUGCUUUGUAUUUUGGAGGGCCAGGCUUCAAAUCUCUGCCCGAAAACCACCUCUCUUCAAUGAGGUUAUCCGUGGGUUUUGUUAGCAGGAGCUCUUGACAAAAAAUUGAAACACCUAUCUAUCCUACUGAAAUUCACAGGAGGAAAAUCAAGCUUGGAGAAGUUGGUUUUCCAUUACCAAGAAAAUUUUGUAAAAGACGUAGAAAUGGAUCAGUACCGCAAAAUAAUAAUAUUCCAAAUAGGAGUAAUAAAGUAUAGUAGUAUAAUUUCAUGAUAGUGUGUACACAGUGAAUUAUAUCAGCCACACAUUCCAGUUGCCAUCAAAUGAGAGUAUUAACCCAUAUGUUCGAAUUACCCCAAUAUGUAUAGGAAGCGUGUUGAAAACAUAAUCUAGUAACUUUUUAAUUAUGUAAUGGUACACAUAACUAAGAAGCCAUAAUGUGCCUGGUUCAUACUCAGGCACAUCGUUUAUGAGUAGGUGUGUCAAAUAGUGGUACAGUUAUAAAUAUCAGCAACUGAACGUUGUUCUGUGCAACAUGUAGAGCAAAUUUAGCUGAGUGACCGAAAUCAUGUGCUUUAUCAUAUGUUGAGGGACUUUUUUUAACAUAGUGUUAAGCAUGCAAUUCGAAGUGUCACUAUUUCAGAUUGGCGAACAUUUUCUGAAAACAAUUCGAAACUUUAGCUUACCUUAAUGGUUCAUUUUUCUUUGUGAUGCCUGAGAAACCAGUCAUGUAAGGAAUUCUGAGUUUGCAGAUGUGGUCUGAAAUGGCCAGUGUAUAUACAAUGGCUUUGAAAAUCAACAAAUGUACAGUUGGAGCCACGCUGCAGGAAUUGUCCGAACAUGUAAGUAAAUGUCUGGGCUGCGUUCAAUUUUGUUGAUGUGUUUUUAUGGAACCUGAAGUAAACCAGCCAUAAACAUACAUUAUAUGAAAUAUUUUCUCUAAGAUUUAUGGGCUUAUUGAACAGCGUGGGCAAAUGUUCUACACGUACCAGCAUAUGAUCGCCAUCUGAACCCCACCAAACUGGUUUGGUCCCGGACUGACAGGUAUUACAGUCACAGCAUUGCCAAAAAUGAGUUGGGAACUCAUGGGAACUGUGGAACUGAUGUGGGAGAAAUUAUUGGAACAGGUUUGUUUGUUUGUGUGUUUUUCUGUGUCAACUACAAAGGAAAAAUGUUUGUAAUAUAAAAUAAAAUUACUUCUGUUGUUGAUGUUUUGUAAUAUUGCUGUAGAGUGUAGAGACAGUGGUGUAAAUCUGCUUUCACAGUUCUGAGGUAAUUCCAACAGUGAUGGAAAAUUAUGUGUGACGGACACAUGAAGGAGCGCUGGGAAACAGAAACCUCUACAGAGAACAAGGAGUCUGUGUGUCCCCUAGAUAUUAGCCUUGAAGAGACCUCCGAGGAGGAAAGUAAUUUAGAUGAGUGGCAAGUCCCACUUGGACAAACAUUUUCUGUGUUAUGAAGAGACAUGUUGAAGCUUUCACAGCACCUGGAAGUACUUCUGGAAUUUCAUAAGAGCAAUUCAGUUCUCCCUAUCCACAUUUUGUUUUUAAAGGAGAUCUAUACCUAAGUAGCCACUGUGAUGACAACUGAACAAUGAAAAUUCACCCCAGGACAUAUUGCAAAGUUUUUAACUAAACAAUACUCUCAUUCAGCCCCCAGCCCCAAAAGGCCAGCAGAGAUUUUGCAGUAUAUUCGAUUCUGUUAAUUGAAUCUUGUCUGAAUUGGUUGAUCUGGUUAAAAUUAAAUCGCAUUUUAUGAGCCCACACACAACGUGGAAUACCCGUGCUUAGAUAUAAUGCUGCAUGAUCUGAGAUGUCUGUAUGUGUGUUUAUAUCUAUGUUUGUACUGGAAACAUUUGUUGUAAAACUUGUUGCACAUUCUUGGUUUAAGCCUGUGAAGUCUGUAUAUUCUGCAAAUAAAUUCUAGUCUUUUCUGUUAUACCAAACCAACAUCA